rnacentral:rRNA from 1 species
UGCGUAGGUGGUUGUUUAAGUCUGUCGUGAAAGCCCUGGGCUCAACCUGGGAAUUGCGAUGGAAACUGGGCGACUAGAGUGUGGCAGAGGGUAGUGGAAUUCCUGGUGUAGCAGUGAAAUGCGUAGAGAUCAGGAGGAACAUCCGUGGCGAAGGCGACUGCCUGGGCCAACACUGACACUGAGGCAAAGACUGGGGAGGCGAAACA